rnacentral:tRNA from 1 species
AUUUAAGUCAGCUAAUUAAGCUAAUGAGUUCAUAUCUCAUAAAUGAAAGAAAUAUUGAUUC